GGGCCAGCUGCUGCCCGGGGCGCGCUCGGCCGGCGUGACCACCUCCGGGGAGCAGAGGCCGCGGGGACCGGACAGCGGAGGGGCCGCCUGCUCGGGGCCGCACCUGAGAGCCAUCCCCGGAGGGGGAAACAACAUUCUCGGCGCAGAACCACAGGUUGAGGCAUCCUGAGAGCUGCUGACCUGAGCUCCUCUGAUGCAGACGUGACCCGAAGGGGAGCCCCGCAGCCCGCCGCCGACCCGCGGCCGCACUCCGUCCUCCAAGCUUGCCCAGAGGAUUUGAAAUAGCUCCACUGGACUUCCAUCACCUCCACUAGCUUUGUUCGUAGUGAUUCUUUCUAAGGCCCACUUGACUUCACAUCCAGGAUGUCUGGCUCUAGGUGAGUGAUCACACCAUCGUGAUUAUCUGGGUCGUGAAGCUCUUUUUUGUAC
ensembl:lncRNA